AUUGAACGCUGGCGGCAGGCUUAACACAUGCAAGUCGAGCGGAGAUGAGGUGCUUGCACCUUAUCUUAGCGGCGGACGGGUGAGUAAUGCUUAGGAAUCUGCCUAUUAGUGGGGGACAACAUUCCGAAAGGAAUGCUAAUACCGCAUACGCCCUACGGGGGAAAGCAGGGGAUCUUCGGACCUUGCGCUAAUAGAUGAGCCUAAGUCGGAUUAGCUAGUUGGUGGGGUAAAGGCCUACCAAGGCGACGAUCUGUAGCGGGUCUGAGAGGAUGAUCCGCCACACUGGGACUGAGAAACGGGCCAGACUCCUACGGGAGGCAGCAGUGGGGAAUAUUGGACAAUGGGCGGAAGCCUGAUCCAGCCAUGCCGCGUGUGUGAAGAAGGCCUUUUGGUUGUAAAGCACUUUAAGCGAGGAGGAGGCUACCUGGAUUAAUACUCUAGGAUAGUGGACGUUACUCGCAGAAUAAGCACCGGCUAACUCUGUGCCAGCCGCCGCUGUAAAAC
rnacentral:rRNA from 1 species